rnacentral:rRNA from 1 species
GUGGGGAAUAUUGGGCAAUGGGCGAAACCCUGACCCAGCGACGCCGCGUGAGGGAAGAAGGCCUUAGGGUCGUAAACCUCUGUUGUGUGGGAAGAAGAGCGUGACGGUACCACACGAGGAAGUCCCGGCUAACUACGUGCCAGCAGCCGCGGUAAUACGUAGGGGACGAGCGUUGUCCGGAUUUACUGGGCGUAAAGGGCGCGUAGGCGGUCAUUUAAGUCAGCUGUGAAAUGGUUUGGCUUAACCGGAUCAUGCGGUUGAAACUGGAUGACUGGAGUGCUGGAGAGGCAAGUGGAAUUCCCAGUGUAGCGGUGAAAUGCGUAGAUAUUGGGAAGAACACCGGUGGCGAAGGCGACUUGCUGGCCAGCAACUGACGCUGAGGCGCGAAAGCCAGGGGAGCAAACGGGAUUAGAAACCCUAGUAGUCC